rnacentral:lncRNA from 1 species
CUGGUCCCUGCGAAAUUCGGGAUUAAAUUGGGAGAGACCGCUUGAGGGAAAUGGAUUCUGUACCCUCGCUGGCUAGCGUUUUGACUUUACUAUUCUCCGUCUUGUGGCAUAUAGGAUCUACAGCUACAAACUAAAGUGCUAAAGCAGAGGAUGGAAACUUUUCAAAGUGGAGUACCUAGUAACUGAUCACUGUUCUUCUCAUGUCUGGGAAGGUUAUCUGCGAGAAAUAGGUAAGAAUACUGAAAAGUACC